rnacentral:tRNA from 1 species
UAUAUAUAAGUGUAUGGUUGCAUAAAAAAUUUUGAUUUUUUUGGAUUUAAUUAAUUUUAAAAUAUAUAU